GUCUAUGGCGGAUCGUGCGAGGCGGGCUUAUGCCCGGCCGGGUCGAUGUUGCCGGUUUUCCACCCUCGCACGGUCCGCCACCCAA
rnacentral:antisense_RNA from 1 species